UACGUAGGGGGCAAGCGUUGUCCGGAUUUAUUGGGCGUAAAGAGCGUGUAGGCGGCCAGAUAGGUCCGUUGUGAAAACUCGAGGCUCAACCUCGAGAUGUCGGCGGAAACCACUUGGCUAGAGUCCGGAAGAGGAGAGUGGAAUUCCUGGUGUAGCGGUGAAAUGCGCAGAUAUCAGGAAGAACACCUAUGGCGAAGGCAGCUCUCUGGGACGGUACUGACGCUGAGACGCGAAAGCGUGGGGAGCGAACAGG
rnacentral:rRNA from 1 species